AUUGAACGCUGGCGGCAGGCCUAACACAUGCAAGUCGAGCGGAUGAAGGGAGCUUGCUCCUGGAUUCAGCGGCGGACGGGAGAGUAAUGCCUAGGAAUCUGCCUGGUAGUGGGGGAUAACGUCCGGAAACGGGCGCUAAUACCGCAUAUGUCCUGAGGGAGAAAGUGGGGGAUCUUCGGACCUCACGCUAUCAGAUGAGCCUAGGUCGGAUUAGCUAGUUGGUGGGGUAAAGGCCUACCAAGGCGACGAUCCGUAACUGGUCUGAGAGGAUGAUCAGUCACACUGGAACUGAGACACGGUCCAGACUCCUACGGGAGGCAGCAGUGGGGAAUAUUGGACAAUGGGCGAAAGCCUGAUCCAGCCAUGCCGCGUGUGUGAAGAAGGUCUUCGGAUUGUAAAGCACUUUAAGUUGGGAGGAAGGGCAGUAAGUUAAUACCUUGCUGUUUUGACGUUACCAACAGAAUAAGCACCGGCUAACUUCGUG
rnacentral:rRNA from 1 species